rnacentral:rRNA from 1 species
AAUCUUGCGCAAUGGAGGGAACUCUGACGCAGCGACGUCGCGUGAUCGAAGAAGGUCUUCGGAUCGUAAAGCUCUGUCUUUGGGGACGAAGGAAGUGACGGUACCCCAGGUGGAAGCCCCGGCCAACUACGUUACAGCAGCCGCGGUAACACGUAUGGGGAAGGCGUUGUCCGGAAUUACUGGGCGUAAAGGGUGCGUAGGCGGUAUAUUAAGUCGGGUGUGAAACCCCACGGCUCAACUGUGGGCUGGCACAUGAAACUGGUAUGCUUGAGUACAGGAGAGGAAAGCGGAAUGCCUAGUGUAGUGGUGAAAUGCGUAGAUAUUAGGAAGAACACCAGUGGCGAAGGCGGCUUUCUGGACUGUAACUGACGCUGAGGCACGAAAGCGUGGGGAGCAAACA